rnacentral:rRNA from 1 species
CGAGAAAGCCCGCAAGGGUGAGUAAAGCGGCGUACGGGUGCGUAACACGUGGGUAAUCUGCCCUGGAGUCCGGAAUAACUUCCCGAAAGGGAUGCUAAUGCCGGAUGAGACCACGGGAGCUCCGGCUCCUGCGGGAAAAGGUGGCCUCUGUAUACAAGCUAUCGCUCUAGGAUGAGCCCGCGGCCCAUCAGCUAGUUGGCGGGGUAACGGCCCACCAAGGCAACGACGGGUAGCUGGUCUGAGAGGACAAUCAGCCACACUGGAACUGAGACACGGUCCAGACUCCUACGGGAGGCAGCAGUGGGGAAUCUUGCGCAAUGGGCGAAAGCCUGACGCAGCAACGCCGCGUGUGUGAUGAAGGUCUUCGGAUCGUAAAGCACUGUCGCGAGGGACG